GACGAACGCUGGCGGCGUGCUUAACACAUGCAAGUCGAACGGAAAGGCCCUGCUUUUGUGGGGUGCUCGAGUGGCGAACGGGUGAGUAACACGUGAGUAACCUGCCCUUGACUUUGGGAUAACUUCAGGAAACUGGGGCUAAUACCGGAUAGGAGCUCCUGCUGCAUGGUGGGGGUUGGAAAGUUUCGGCGGUUGGGGAUGGACUCGCGGCUUAUCAGCUUGUUGGUGGGGUAGUGGCUUACCAAGGCUUUGACGGGUAGCCGGCCUGAGAGGGUGACCGGGCAACUUGGGAAAUGAGAGCGGCCCAGACCCCCGCGGGGGGCAAGAGGGGGGAAUGUUGCACAAUGGGGGGAAGGCUGGAGCCACCAGCCCCGGGGGGGGGAGGAGGCCUUGGGGUUGUAAACCCGUUUUCCCGGGGAAAGAGGGGGGGGGGAGGUAAGGGGGAAAAAAGCCCCGGCCAAACACGGGC
rnacentral:rRNA from 1 species